rnacentral:rRNA from 1 species
UGCAAGUCGAGCGGUAGCACAGAGAGCUUGCUCUCGGGUGACGAGCGGCGGACGGGUGAGUAAUGUCUGGGAAACUGCCUGAUGGAGGGGGAUAACUACUGGAAACGGUAGCUAAUACCGCAUAACGUCGCAAGACCAAAGUGGGGGACCUUCGGGCCUCAUGCCAUCAGAUGUGCCCAGAUGGGAUUAGCUAGUAGGUGGGGUAACGGCUCACCUAGGCGACGAUCCCUAGCUGGUCUGAGAGGAUGACCAGCCACACUGGAACUGAGACACGGUCCAGACUCCUACGGGAGGCAGCAGUGGGGAAUAUUGCACAAUGGGCGCAAGCCUGAUGCAGCCAUGCCGCGUGUGUGAAGAAGGCCUUCGGGUUGUAAAGCACUUUCAGCGGGGAGGAAGGCGAUAAGGUUAAUAACCUUGGCGAUUGACGUUACCCGCAGAAGAAGCACCGGCUAACUCCGUGCCAGCAGCCGCGGUAAUACGGAGGGUGCAAGCGUUAAUCGGAAUUACUGGGCGUAAAGCGCACGCAGGCGGUCUGUCAAGUCGGAUGUGAAAUCCCCGGGCUCAACCUGGGAACUGCAUUCGAAACUGGCAGGCUAGAGUCUUGUAGAGGGGGGUAGAAUUCCAGGUGUAGCGGUGAAAUGCGUAGAGAUCUGGAGGAAUACCGGUGGCGAAGGCGGCCCCCUGGACAAAGACUGACGCUCAGGUGCGAAAGCGUGGGGAGCAAACAGGAUUAGAUACCCUGGUAGUCCACGCCGUAAACGAUGUCGAUUUGGAGGUUGUGCCCUUGAGGCGUGGCUUCCGGAGCUAACGCGUUAAAUCGACCGCCUGGGGAGUACGGCCGCAAGGUUAAAACUCAAAUGAAUUGACGGGGGCCCGCACAAGCGGUGGAGCAUGUGGUUUAAUUCGAUGCACGCCGAAAACCUUACCUGGUCUUGACUCCACGAACUUUCCAAAAUGGAUUGGUGCUUCGGAACUGGGAACAG